GAUGAACGCUAGCAGGAGGCUUAAUACAUGCAAGUCGAGGGGUAACGAUGGUGCUUGCACCAGGCGACGACCGGCGAACGGGUGAGUAACGCGUACAUAACCUACCUAUAAGAGGAGGAUAGCCCUGGGAAACUAGGAUUAAUACUCCAUAUUAUUAUGAUUUAAAUUAUAAUGAAAGCUCCGGCGCUUAUAGAUGGAUGUGCGUCCCAUUAGCUAGUUGGUAAGGUAACGGCUUACCAAGGCUACGAUGGGUAGGGGGCGUGAGAGCGUGAUCCCCCACACGGGUACUGAGACACGGACCCGACUCCUACGGGAGGCAGCAGUAAGGAAUAUUGGACAAUGGGCGCAAGCCUGAUCCAGCCAUCCUGCGUGUAGGAUGAAUGCCCUAUGGGUUGUAAACUACUUUUAUAAGAGAAGAAAAGUCAGGAUUUAUCUUGAUCUGACGGUAUCUUAUGAAUAAGCACCGGCUAACUCCG
rnacentral:rRNA from 1 species